rnacentral:rRNA from 1 species
AGUGAACGCUGGCGGUAGGCCUAACACAUGCCAGUCGAACGGCAGCACAGUAAGAGCUUGCUCUUACGGGUGGCGAGUGGCGGACGGGUGAGGAAUACAUCGGAAUCUACUUUUUCGUGGGGGAUAAUGUAGGGAAACUUACGCUAAUACCGCAUACGACCUACGGGUGAAAGCAGGGGAUCUUCGGACCUUGCGCGAUUGAAUGAGCCGAUGUCGGAUUAGCUAGUUGGCGGGGUAAAGGCCCACCAAGGCGACGAUCCGUAGCUGGUCUGAGAGGAUGAUCAGCCACACUGCAACUGAGACACGGUCCAGACUCCUACGGGAGGCAGCAGUGGGGAAUAUUGGACAAUGGGCGCAAGCCUGAUCCAGCCAUACCGCGUGGGUGAAGAAGGCCUUCGGGUUGUAAAGCCCUUUUGUUGGGAAAGAAAAGCAGCAGGUUAAUACCCCGCUGUUCUGACGGUACCCAAAGAAUAAGCACCGGCUAACUUCGUG